rnacentral:lncRNA from 1 species
UUCAGAGCCAUGCGGCUUCCGUGGAAGCGGAUUCCCACGUAGAAGCAUUCUGAAUAGUGGGACUAGCAUUCUGAGUACCAGAAAAAUAGCAUAGUUAAUAUUUCUGUAGUAAAAUCAAGUAGCAACUUCUMAAAAUUUGAGUACAGAUAUUUCAGUUUCUAGGCUGUGAAUGUUAAUUUUAACAUGAAAAUUUUUCAGUAGAUAAAUAUUGAAUUCUGCACUUUUCUAAAUUCCAGUGGUAUUUCUUGGGUGUAAUGGCCCCCAAGGAUUAGGUAACAGGUUACAACUUUCUCCUGCAGGACACGAGACUGAGGCCCUUCAACAGCCCUUCUUGUUAUGCCUGAGGAGUCUGAAAACUUUCUUCAAUAUGUGUUACAGUGCAGCAGGCGUUACCAUGGUACCUUGUAAUAUUUUUCCAAUCAGCAGAUGGAGCUACAAGGAGAAAAAAAGGUUUGAGUGCAGAAAUUUGGAAUGGAA